UCCGCUCAAUACUGCAAGUCGCUCUUGAUAAGAGCGUCUGCUAAAUGACUAAAA
rfam:Salmo salar isolate Sally breed double haploid chromosome ssa14, whole genome shotgun sequence.